UGCUCUUUUUCUAUUUUUUUCCCAUAGACUUCUUAGUGAAUUUUCUUGUCUACUGUCAAAUUUGGAUGGAUGCUGCCUUUUGUUUUUGAUGUCUCAUUUGGGUGAGUGGAUGCAUGUAUGCGCACGUGUGUGUGAUUUGCUUUUUUUUAGAUUUUAAUGGGGACUUUCCGUAGUAUGUUUAUCUCUCUCUAGUAUGAAAUUGUGCUUAAAAGUAUGUUAUUUCAGUUAUUCACAUUUACAUCAUUUCAAUUAUUCAAAUUUUGUUUAAAAGUAAGAAAAGGCCUUGGAUAUAUAUCAUUUCUUGUGUCUAAUAGUAUUUUUUGCUAAUUUUGACUAGAAUUCAUAAUGAUGGGAAUAUGGGAUACCAUUUUAGCUAGAAGUAAUAGCAUGACAUUUUAAAAUUGAAGCUUUCUUGAAAGCUUCUGUAUUGAGAUAGGUAAAGUCUAUGUUGUUUAUCUUUACACAUUUCCUUGUUUUAUCUAUAAUUAUUCAAAGUUAUUACAUGAAUAUAGAUGGUGAUUAUAAAGUUAUUUAGGUUUGCUAUUAACUUGAAAGAUUAAUCGACUUUUACUAAAAGAGCUAGUAUAUAACUUCUUGAAUAAACUUUUCUAUGCUAAGGUAGUGGAAGUAGUCCUCAAUUAUGGUGCUUAUGAAUUAAUUUCCAGGUUGCAUAAUUAGUCGUUUAGGUAAUUAAAGGUUCAAGUUUACAAUUUAAUUUCAUUCCGUAUUAUUAGGUGUAUGAAAUUGAUAUAAUACUUUUCAAACAUAUAAAAUAGCGUACAUUCUCUAUAUAAUUAUGGGUCCUAUUUGAAUAAAUCAAUUUUAUCUGUUGAUUUAUGAUGUAUGACAAUAUUUUACUAAUAUUUGGGUUCUGAUACAAUACUUUUGUUUAAUAUAAUAAUUUUUUUACUAUACUAAAAUUUUAUUUAAUAUAUUAUUUUUUUUUCAAAAUUUUUAAAAUUAUGUCAAUCAACCGUUGAAGGCUGGUACCCUUGUAAAAUUUGGAACUGUUUGAGUUAUAAUAUUAAUUGGAUUUUAAUGGUAUUUCUAUUAGUUGAACAAUGUAAUAUCUAAAUUCAAUUAUUUUUAUCUUUAUUUAUGUAAUUUUUAAUGAUAAAUUGCAAAAUUUAAUUUUUUUGGGUGCUUGUAUCAUUUUAGUAAAAUAUAAUAAUGUGUGAUGAUUAUUAUAUUUCAUCCAACCCAAUCUUUGAACACUCAUAAUUAAUUAUUGACUCAAGUUCUUUGUUGUGGAGUUUGAUUUGUUGCAUUAUCCAUUGUAUGUGUGCUAUUACUCUAAGAUGGUAUAAAGAUGUGUUCAGAUUUUUGGGAUUUGUUACUGCACUUCAGGUGAUUUUUUUUUUCAGCUUCUGGAUCUAAUCAAGGCUAACCCCAAAAGAAAAUGUAAAAGAUGAAACAUUCAGGAGUGGGAGAAAGGAAGGUACGGGCAAGCUGGGGUUUUGCAUUGGUCUGACCUGCAAAUUCAGUGUUCUGUACAAUGAGAAAUAGGUAAAGAGGGGUGAGAGGGUAGUUGAGAGAAAAAGAAAGGGAAAGCAAAGAGACUGAGAAAGCGCUCCAUUUUUAUUCAUUUUCGGUUCAUCUCCGUUGCCUCAAUGGCAGGGCACGACUUGUUUUUGGUUUAUUUUCAUUUUUUUUUUGGGUUUGUUGUGAGUUAAUUCAGUCGACGAAGGUUCUUCCUUGAUUUAGUUGAUCGGUUGAUUUGUUUCUUUGGUCUCUGUUUGUUCGACUUUUCAGAUCUGUGGAUGCUUUGGUUGAUGGUCCAUUACCAGAUCUGAUGAGUGUUUCCAGUAAGGGUUUUCUGCUAGGUUUGAGGGAGGUGCAACUUGCAUGGAUUGGUAACAGUCCUCUGCGGAGUUAAUAGCCAUCCUCUUGAGAUUGGUUUCCCUCAAGGCUAGCUAGAGGUUUCUCCUCCUGCUUCCUGUCGCUAAUGCAUGGUUGGUAUAGGUAUUUCUAAUGGUUUUGCAAGUCUGUCCUGCUAUGGUCUUUGUCCCAAUAGUGGUGGCAUGUGGGCUGGUCGAUGGUGGUGCUUGAUUACAGUGGAUGGUGCAUGGUUGUUGGUGUGUGGCCAUUGGGGCUAGGUUUUUUUAGUAUGGAUUUUCCAUUGGGGCUAGGUUUUUUUAGUAUGGAUUUUUUGGAAGCUGUUAUGCUGAUUUUUUUAGGAAUGGAAUGCCUAAUGCCUAAGGCUUAAAAUUUUAUGGAUUUAUGGGUGGUUAUGUUGGAUUCUCUGAGCUCUAUUUAUGGACCUUUAUUCGAUGUUG